AAGCGAUACAUUUUUUUAAACCCCAUUAGAAGCGCUUCGGAAGAACAAACCAAUCCAGAGGAGAGGAAGAGACCCACAGAUAGAGAUAGGCGGCGGAAUAGACGGGGAUUCGGCGGAGCCGCGAGGAGAGAUUCCCUUUCCCUUGCGGUUAACCAGAACGGUUUCGAUUAUAUAUAUGUUUAUUUCACUAACCUUUCGCCAAGAAACUGCGAUUUAGACUGCCCUUCUCCCGUCGUCACUUAGUCAAACCACGAGCUCAGCUUCAUUGUUCCUGUGGAUGUAUCUUGUCGUCAUUCAAGAAGAAGAUUGGCUUGUGAAUUGGCCCGAUUCCUUUCUGGGUAUUCUCAGGCCGCCUUGUCUGUCUGUUGAGAGAAAGGCCUUCUCACAUUGUGUUUCGAGAGAUAGAUGGGAUAAAGAAUUCUUCAAGCUUCAGAGCGGAUAAUAUCAAUUUGUUGGUGUGCGAUCGCUUUUUGAAGUUGUUUUGGUUUCGAGCAGUUGUAAGGUUUUCGCUUAUCCAAAAUGAAUCCGUCUCAAGGCUCUACCUUGUCCGCAAACGUUGCGGGGUUUGUUGACGGCUCCUCUGCAAAAAGAGAAGUCUCAUACAUUGACAAUCUACCUGUUUAUGUUAAAGAGCUGAUAGCUGGUGGUGCUGCCGGUGCCUUUGCUAAGACUGCUGUUGCACCCUUGGAACGAACGAAGAUACUCUUGCAGACGAGAACUGAGGGAUUUCGGUCUCUUGGAGUAUUUCAAUCUAUGAAGAGGGUGGUGAAGCAUGAAGGUGUUCGUGGUUUCUAUAAGGGAAAUGGAGCAAGCGUUGCUCGGAUUAUUCCUUAUGCAGCUCUUCAUUUCAUGACGUAUGAGCAGUAUCGUUGUUGGAUCUUGAAUAACUAUCCAAGCUUAGGAACUGGGCCUCAUAUUGAUCUUCUAGCUGGUUCAGUAGCUGGAGGAACAGCUGUUUUAUGCACAUAUCCCUUGGACCUGGCACGAACAAAACUGGCUUACCAGAUUACUGACACAAGAACGAGGAGCGGUUUGGGAAGUUAUCAUACUCGCCCUGUGUACAAUGGCAUCAAGGACGUUCUAACAAGUGUUUAUAAAGCUGGUGGAGUACGUGCACUCUAUCGCGGUGUAGGUCCAACACUUACAGGAAUCCUUCCGUAUGCUGGUUUGAAAUUCUACAUUUAUGAAAAACUGAAAAGUCACGUUCCUGAGGAGCAUCAGAGAUCCAUUGUGAUGCGACUUUCUUGUGGGGCUCUGGCUGGAUUAUUGGGGCAGACAUUCACAUAUCCGCUGGACGUCGUUAGAAGACAAAUGCAGGUUGGAGAUAUGCCAUCUUCACUUCAUGGUCAAGUCAGAUUUAGGAACUCAAUCGAAGGUCUUACGAUGAUAGUUCGUAACCAAGGAUGGCGGCAGUUGUUUGCAGGACUGAGCAUUAACUACAUUAAGAUUGUUCCUUCUGUGGCCAUUGGAUUUACAGCAUAUGAUAGCAUGAAAUUAUGGCUCCGAAUCCCACCUCGUCAGAAGACGCAGUCAAUAUCUUCUGCCGCAUAAACCCAUUCCUCUCUAUGCCGACACUGUCCUUAGAUUCUAGACUGCCUUUUAAUUUAAAGAUGUAGCUGUCAUUCAUCUGUAUCUGCUUGAAUCUAUGGCUAGACAUGCUUUUCCUUCACUCCCUACUUUUUGGGAACUGACAAUGAAACAACUUUUAUGAUUAGACUAUAUUUGCUGUUGCUAUCAA